AUUGAACGCUGGCGGCAUGCCUUACACAUGCAAGUCGAACGGCAGCGGGGACUUCGGUCCGCCGGCGAGUGGCGAACGGGUGAGUAAUGUAUCGGAACGUACCUUUCAGUGGGGGAUAACGUAGCGAAAGUUACGCUAAUACCGCAUAUUCUGUGCGCAGGAAAGCAGGGGAUCGCAAGACCUUGCGCUGAUUGAGCGGCCGAUAUCAGAUUAGCUAGUUGGUGAGGUAAAGGCUCACCAAGGCGACGAUCCGUAGCUGGUCUGAGAGGAUGAUCAGCCACACUGGAACUGAGACACGGUCCAGACUCCUACGGGAGGCAGCAGUGGGGAAUUUUGGACAAUGGGCGAAAGCCUGAUCCAGCCAUUCCGCGUGAGUGAAGAAGGCCUUCGGGUUGUAAAGCUCUUUCGGCAGGAACGAAACGGUCUUGGUUAAUACCCGAGGCUAAUGACGGUACCUGAAGAAGAAGCACCGGCUAACUACGUGCCAGCCGCCGCCGUAAGAC
rnacentral:rRNA from 1 species